CACUUUGACCCUCGGCACACAGCUCCUGAAGCUGAGCCGGUGAGAGUUGAGGACGCUGGGGGACGCGCUGAGCACUUUCUUCUUCUCAAUAUAAAGCUGGAGCGCAAGAAUCCCUGUUCCAGCCGGGCCUGGUGGCUCAUGCAGGCCUAUCUCUGUGGGUUCGAGGCCAGCCUGCUCUACAUAGUAUUUCUGUGAUCCACCUGCCUCUGCCUCCCAGCGUGCUGGGAUUACAGGCAUGUGCCGCCGCGCCCGGCUAAAACAUUUUAAGAAAUGGAUAUUCAUGGUAAUAACGUGAGCUGACAUGUCAGUUCUGGGCACAGCUACCGUAGCCUGUGUCUCUGUACAGUAAAGCGAGAGCCUUGUUCAGCUCAUCCGCUUAGGAUCAGCUUUUACUUCUAAGACGUGUGCCAGAAAGUAUGUCAGGAAAGAGCGUUCCUGACUGGCCUGUUGGUGCUGCCCUCACUCACUCAGCCACCGACUGGGCCCAGCCAGCUGCUGAGGCAGCCCACGCCCUGGAAGGGGCUCAGGCUCGGCUCCUGCAGGCCAGCCGGAGGACAGCGAUAAUCCGGAGCGUAAGCAGGCCACCGUCCUGAAAUAGCUGACCAGACGAGGCCGGAGAGAGCCCGCUGUCCCGCUAAUGAGGACCCAAGCCUCCUUACGGUAAAAAUAAAGAGCGCGCCUCGUGCCCUGGUUUAGUGGCAGCUGAUUGGCACUGCGGCCAGGAGAGCGCUUAAAUUAACACUCAAGGACACUGGCUCGCCUCACAGAAGCAGGGUGAAUUCAGACCCCUGAGGUUACGUAAGGAGUAAGAGCCUGAGGCCAUUUACGCGGCGUGUGCUGUUUGUGUCCCCUGUGCUGUACGUGCUGUUCCCGGUGUGCGUGUGGUGUGUACGGGGUACGUGUGUGGUGUGUGUAGUGUUUAUGUGUGGUGUUUGUGAUGUGUGUAUUGUUUGUAACGUGUGUCGUGUGUACACGCAUGUGAUGUGUGUACAGUGUGGUUGUGAUGUGUGGUGUGAACAAGCAUACAUGUGUGUAAUGUGUGUUACCUGUGUGGUGUGUGGUGUUUGCGAAGGGUGGGGUGUGCGUGUGUGCACGUGUUGUGGCCGCUCGGCCUGGAAGUACGAAGAGGUGCGUUCGGCCGCAGUGACAACAGUACUAGGGUGGUGCAGGUCAGCCUGGCGCCCGCCCGUGGAGCGGUGCCCUCCCGGGUGGAGCCUCACCUCGGCUCCCCCGCAGGCACCCCGCAUUCCGCGCCGGCGUCGGGGAGAGGUGGGGGAGCGGGGCCCGGGGGACACAGAGCCCCCGCAGCCCCCGGCCCCGGCCCGGGUCGGCUUCCGAUGUUGCCCCAGCUUUCUCCUUCCUCCUGCGCUAGGCUGGGCGGCGCCUGCCUCUGCUCCCAGGACCAGGACACGCCAGGCUGUCCUCGGAGCACUGACACGGAACGCCCACUGGGGGGCGGCACACCGCUGCGUAGUGAGCACACGCGCGGACUCCGAGGCCGCCCCGGAGCCUGUCUGGGUGGGUCUGGUCUUGGGGCAGGUUUAACUCUGCUAACGUUAUUAGUAACUUCUCUCCAUCAAAGAGGCUCCUCUUCACAGCAAGUGCAGCGCGACACAGGAAAGCCACAACUGGACACAGGUCGUCGGCAUGACCAGCCAGCACCAGACGUCUUGGCUGUGCAACAGUGAGGACUGCAUUUCGGAUCACCCAGGCCCCAGCGUCCCUCUGUAGCAGCCCAGACUGUAGGAGCCUGCUAACAAGUGUGCAGAGGUUUCGGGAGGAGGCCUUGUGAGCGGCUGUGAGCAGGGACUGCGGCCGGGAAUCAGGAGCUGUGUGGCCCUGGAGACUCGUCUCUGAGCUCUGCAAAAAUAAAGGCUUUAAGCUGGA